rnacentral:rRNA from 1 species
GACGAACGCUGGCGGCGUGCUUAACACAUGCAAGUCGAACGGAAAGGCCCUGCUUUUGUGGGGUGCUCGAGUGGCGAACGGGUGAGUAACACGUGAGUAACCUGCCCUUGACUUUGGGAUAACUUCAGGAAACUGGGGCUAAUCCCGGAUAUGAGCUCCUGCUGCAUGGUGGGGGUUGGAAAGUUUCGGCGGUUGGGGAUGGACUCGCGGCUUAUCAGCUUGUUGGUGGGGUAGUGGCUUACCAAGGCUUUGACGGGUAGCCGGCCUGAGAGGGUGACCGGCAACAUUGGGACUGAGAUACGGCCCAGACUCCUACGGGAGGCAGCAGUGGGGAAUAUUGCACGAUGGGCGGAAGCCAGAUGCAGGAACGCCGCGUGCGGGAUGAAGGCCUUCGGGUUGUAAACCGCUUUCGCCUGUGACGAAGCGUGAGUGACGGUAAUGUGUAAAGAAGCACCGGCUAACUAAGUG